UACGUAGGGUGCGAGCGUUGUCCGGAAUUAUUGGGCGUAAAGAGCUCGUAGGCGGUGUGUCGCGUCGGCCGUGAAAACCUGCAGCUUAACUGUGGGCUUGCGGUCGAUACGGGCAUCACUGGAGUUCGGCAGGGGAGACUGGAAUUCCUGGUGUAGCGGUGAAAUGCGCAGAUAUCAGGAGGAACACCGGUGGCGAAGGCGGGUCUCUGGACAGUUCCUGACACUGAGGCACGAAGGCCAGGGGAGCAAACGGG
rnacentral:rRNA from 1 species